rnacentral:rRNA from 1 species
UACGUAGGGUGCAAGCGUUGUCCGGAAUUAUUGGGCGUAAAGAGCUCGUAGGCGGUUUGUCGCGUCUGCUGUGAAAACUCGGGGCUUAACCCCGGGCCUGCAGUGGGUACGGGCAGACUAGAGUGCGGUAGGGGAGACUGGAAUUCCUGGUGUAGCGGUGAAAUGCGCAGAUAUCUGGAGGAACACCGGUGGCGAAGGCGGCAUCCUGGACCGAGAUUGACGCUGAGGCGCGAAAGCCAGGGGAGCAAAGCGGG